AUUACUUUGGCAGAUAAGUGUUUUAAAUUUAGAAUUUAAUUAUAUAUAAAAUAUUUUAUAUAAGUAAUA
rnacentral:tRNA from 1 species